rnacentral:rRNA from 1 species
UACCGAGGGGGCAAGCGUUGUUCGGAAUUGCUGGGCGUAAAGGGCGCGUAGGCGGCCUUCUAAGUCGAACGUGAAAUCCCCGGGCUCAACCCGGGAACUGCGUCCGAUACUGGAAGGCUUGAAUCCGGGAGAGGGAUGCGGAAUUCCAGGUGUAGCGGUGAAAUGCGUAGAUAUCUGGAGGAACACCGGUGGCGAAGGCGGCAUCCUGGACAGGCAUUGACGCUGAGGCGCGAAAGCCAGGGGAGCAAACGGG